UUUAGAGCCGGGAUGUAUAAUCUUUCAUUGCAGAAGAUAAUGUUAUUUCUUACUUUCCAAAUGAGAUAACAUAAGGCACCAAAGGCAAAGCGAGCCAAGGAUUGGUGGAAGGAUGCAUCAGAAAGGUGUUCAGUAACCCAUAAAAGAUUGUCAUUCCAAGCAAGAUUCCUCCAAGGAUUAGAUAGUGAUCCAAUGGCAGCUGUGUUUUUGAGGAAAAGAGAUGGGAUGUUUCAGGAACUUGGGAGGAUCAGACGUUAUAUUGAGUAGGUUGGAUCCCCCAUGGAUUGAAAAGAUGCAUUUAGCUCAUCAGUUUGACUGUUCGGCUUUUAGUUAUGGAUUGAAAAGAACUUAUAUGCUACAUACUUUUACUAUGGUUAUAAAUCGACUUAAUUUUUGGUUAUUUCCUGAAGAUGGAAUAUAGAACAAUAGAUGCUCAUCUCUUUUCUUACCUUUGAUGUUGGACGAUCUUAUGUUUGGUAGGAAUUCGAAUGUGAUUUGGCAAUUUAGUAACUAUGACUUGCAAUUUCCCUUGCAA